rnacentral:rRNA from 1 species
GCCCUGCCGUAACAAAACAAUCAAAUAACUAAUUGUUCGCCAAAUAACUACGAGUAAGAACUUAAAAUUUAAAAGACUUGACGGUGCUUCAUACCAACCUAGAGGAGCCUGUCCAAUAACCGAUAACCCACGAUUAACCCAACCCACUCUAGCCUAACAGUCUAUAUACCGCCGUCGCCAGCUUACCUUGUGAAAGAAAUAAAGUAAGCCUAAUAAUAUCACAUUAACACGACAGGUCGAGGUGUAACCAAUGAGCGGGACAAAGAUGGGCUACAUUUUCUAACCCAGAAAACACGGAUAAACUAUGAAAUUAGAAACUGAAGGAGGAUUUAGCAGUAGGAUUAGAACAGAAUACUAAACCGAAAUAAAUGCAAUGAAGUGCGCACACACCGCCCGUCAUCCCUGUAUGAAACAAAUAAUAUUCAUAAAAAACCUUCAUCACCUAAGCAGGGCAAGUCGUAACAUGGUAAGCGUACUGGAAAGUGCGCUUAGAGACAAAAAGUAGCUUACGCUAAAGCACUCGACUUACAAUCGAACGAUAUUUAAAAUAAUCUUUUUUGAGCUGAGAUUUAUAGCAUAUAAAUACAAACAUCCCAUACUAAUAAAACAAACCAUUUGACCUACCUAGUA